GAUGAAGAACGUAGCGAAAUGCGAUAAGUAAUGUGAAUUGCAGAAUUCAGUGAAUCAUCGAAUCUUUGAACGCACAUUGCGCCCGCCAGUAUUCUGGCGGGCAUGCCUGUUCGAGCGUCAUUACAGCCCUCAGGCCCCCGGGCCUGGCGUUGGGGAUCGGCGGAGCCCCCCGUGGGCACACGCCGUCCCCCAAAUGCAGUGGCGGUCCCGCCGCAGCUUCCAUCGCGUAGUAGCUAACACCUCGCGACUGGAGAGCGGCGCGGCCACGCCGUAAAACACCCAACUCUUCUGAAGUUGACCUCGAAUCAGGUAGGAAUACCCGCUGAACUUAAGCAUAUCAAUAAGCGGAGGA
rnacentral:misc_RNA from 1 species